GCGUGUCGACGAAGAUCGUCCCGCGCCGUCGACCGGAGGCGGUGCCGUACUCCUCGUGACCAUUGACCAGCAGCGGUUGGGCCGGAGCCAUAAGGCAGCAGUGGAAGGUGAGUCGGUGUGAGCCCGUCUUGCAUUGACAGCUUAUAGCCCUGUCUGUACGGUGCUCCGGCGUGACCGAGGAAGCCGGGCAGCCCUUGCCCAUUGUGGUGCACGCCGAAUGGCGGGGCCUCCCGACAGGAGCAAACCGUGCGGUGUGGACUGCAUGCAGUGCUCACUGUUGCGGUGAACUCGUGCCGGAGAGUGCCACUGGUGUGCCAGUGCUGCUGGUGUUCAGAU
rnacentral:misc_RNA from 1 species